CACACACACACACACACACACACACACGCAAAUACUGAGAGACCAAGUUUGGCUCAAGAACAAUCAUGAGUGUGAAUUACCUGAUCAUUUAUCAGAGUUUUUAUGCAAUAAAAAAAAAAAAAAAAAAGCACGAACCUGACACAGACACAUGGCGCGGGAAGCGUCAUAUCUUCGCACCAUCUCAGUUGGAUGACUUCUCUGUUUCUACUGAUAACGUUUUAUGAGUUUCACAGGUCAGAAUGUGACCUUGACUUGUGCAGCAGCUGAUCUGAAAGCAGGAAAGCUGCCAGAAGUGGAGAUACAAGGUUUUCACUCAGCGGACACACUGAGUCCUUUGUUCGACUGACAGCUCGCAUUAAAAUGUCAUUCACGGUUUAAAAAAACAAAGACAAACAAAUAAAAUCCCAAUUCCAGAGCUCUCCGAGUGCCUUCCAGCACCUGGUCCUCUGAACGUCUGGUGUUCAGGAAAAACCAGUAAGCAGACCUCACGUUGGGCUCAGUGGUUUAAGAAUGAACUUUUGUGCUUGAACUUUAUGUUGAAAUUUGUAUGAGAUCAUUACAGCGCCACAUGGAGCUCAUCAGAGGACUGAGACAGAUUACCGAUUAGUGUAUUGAUUAAUCGAAUUCAGUGAUGUCAAUAACGACAUGCACUGCACUCUUAAAGGUCAACACAAAAGCUCCAGUUGGAGUUAUUUUGUCACACUUCUGCACAUCAUGCAUAAACCACAUUUUCUUUUUAAAAAAUCUAAACCUUCAAACAAGCACCAGCACCUCCCUGCACCUCUCUCGUCUCCUUUAAGUUCUGUGCAUCACUGUAUUUGUAUUUGCACUGUACUGAUGCCUAUAUACCUUUGAAUAAUGGAUGCAGGAUAUUCCUUUUUAUGGGCCGACGUUUGCUCAUCGAACAGUUAACACGACCUACUCCAGCUGUUCCAGCUGAGACUGACCAGACAAAGGACACUUGGAACUGUUGGGCUUUCUUCUGACUGAAACUUGGCUCAGAAACAACUUUCUCAACUCAUUUCAGUUUGGUGCUUGACACUCCCAGCCAGGGACAAAGAGAGGAGCUGGACUGUUCUCUGAUUAACAGCUGUUGAGCAGCAGCCAAAUGCUGACCCCUUAACUCUUGCGCCAUUGCAUUUGUUUGACGUUUGGCUCUUGAUGAUGAAUUGAAAGAAAAUAAAGUGUAUUUUGUCCUUUGUCUAACUCUAACCAAGCCUUUAGCCUGUACCAUUUGCCCCACAGCUGAAGGAGCGGUUGAAAAAAUGCAGAAGCACUUGGAGCCGCUGAUCUGAGGAUGGCUCAGAGUGACGACGGCACUUUGAAAGGAGCGUUAACCUGGCAUGAUUUUGACAGCAGGAGAAGCCAGAAAAUCCCACCGCACACUCGGAGAACAAGUCCACACACAGCUGGGAUGAGCUUUGACUGCAGGGGCGAGAGGCUUAAACAUUAAAAGAAGUGACAAGCUGAAUUUACUCUAAAGUCUAAAUUCUCACAGUUCAAAUCUCUGAUAGAAUAAGAGCUGGAAAGUACAAAUUGCAAUUUUUGCUGUUUAGCUAACAUCACCAACGAGUGCAUGCUGAAGAUUUUAUUUUAGAGCCAAAUUCUACAUAAUUUACUAUUUCAGCUCACACUAACUUUGUUCCCAUUUCCAUCAAACUUCCCUUUUUAUGCUGUCAUUGAUUUCAUUUGUAUAUUGCAUUGGGUAACACUAAUUUCCAGACAACUGUUCUCAUGAUUUCUGAAAAAGAAGUGAUACAUUUCCAAGAAAGUACUAUUUAAUAGCUAAAAGUUGAAAGGGAAAGGAAAAGCGUUUGUCAGCGAUGAACCUUAUCAAGAGUUUCUCUUCUUCUUUUUAGGAUACUCUGAUGGACGCUGACGUGAAUUCAUCCAUUAUUUCUACAACUUUAAAUUACACAAUCAGUGUCAGGGCUGCAGCCAAGGGACCUCAUUCAAGGACUGAACAUGCACACACAAGAAUAAAUGUGUUGCUGCAAGACAUCAAAUAAUUUGGUUUGUUAUUUGUACGAGACGGGGCUGGACUCGGAGCUCUAGAACCUGUUGGACCUGUAAACGUUUUAAAGACAGCACGAUGGCACGCGUCAGAGAUCUCAGCAUCGGGUUCAGGUCAGCGGUGCACAGCAAGCCUUGUCACCUGUCUGACACGAUUACCCGCCGCUGCGAACAUGCCUGCUGAGCUGCACGGUCACACUGCAGCUCUAACCCCCUUCCCUUAAUCUCGGUGCUGUUUGACACGUAUCACACCCCGGAGGGGCCGAGGAGCCUUUCUCCACGUGUUGUAGAUCAGCUUUUCCACUCACACCGUGACCCCCGGCUUCAACUGGAUGUCCCGCAACCUGCAAGAUUAAAGACAGGAGAGGCACUGCAGGAACUUGACCGAUAGCUGCAUGUUCCUGAUCUGGAGAAUUGAUCCAUGAUGUGGGUCAAUAUCUGCUGAGCAGCAGCUAUAAUGAUUUUCUGUAAAGAACAGCUGCAAAAACGAAGCAGAAGAAUUACAGCUGUCACAGGCGAUGAGCUGGGAAGGACAGGACAUGAUCCAGAGAAGAGUCUAACAGGAGAGCAGAGUCUGAAGCCUCUUUCUUUACAAAAACCCACUAACACUGACUAACAUCUGGACUGUGUCUCUAGUGGGAAAGGACGCAAUAUGAAUGUGACCCUGCAGUGGUCAUGGGCAUUUAUUGUUUUGGAUUAAUGAUUAUAUGCAGGAGUCAAACUAUUUCCCUCAUUUUGCUCUAAAACAGAUGUUAGAAACGAGGGUCAUCUUACAAUCAGGUCAGUGUGUGGUUAGUUGCUGUGAUUUUACAGGGAAAAGUGAGCAAACGAGGAAGCUCUGGUGUUACUCAAACUACCAUCUUUCUUAACCACAGUUAUGACUCAGUUUAUGAACCAAAUAAAUCCCUGUUUGUGGACUCCUAAAUGAGAUGCUGGGUGACUUUGAGAAAUGUUUUAAUGUUCUAACAGACAUAAAGGUGUGUAGGAAGUUGGGCAUUAAAAGUGGUCAAAGAUAAAACCUAAAAGUCUGAAACCUUAUUCUGUGGAGGCCCAGAGAGGCAGAACAUGAACAUUUCAGACAACACAAGAAGAUUUCACAUUGUCAAACAGGUAGCAAUAAUAUUUAUUGCUGGUUAACAGAACCAUAGCUUCAUGGUGGUCGGGUAAAAUCCUCAUUAUUACAGCAGUGUCCUGCAAAUUUUAAAAAGGAAUUUAACGGCAUAGAAGAGAAAAAAAGGUAUGGAAGCAGUAGUAUGUACUGGUCAAUAUGCUUUCAACAUAUCAUGGCAUUAAAAGGUCCUUUGGAAACUUAAAGACAUGUUUUAAACAUUGGAUGAAGGAUGAGUAAGACAUGUUAAAAACUUGAUUUAGCAAAUGAAGAAUGUGUCAUUUAUAUGUCAACUUUUACCUUAGAAAUCUUUAUAAUGCUGCUGCUUAACCUGUGGACAGACAUCAACCAUGCAUGCCAUUUCCAAUCAGGUUUCAAUUCAAUUCAAUUUUUUUUAUACAGCGCCAAAUCACAACAACAGUCGCCUCAAGGCGCUUUAU